rnacentral:lncRNA from 1 species
AAGAGACAGCCCUGCUACCCAAGCUCAAUGAUUGAAAGAUGAGUAAGAAAUCAUAAUUUGAAAACUGCCUCAUGAGGCAGGCCAUGAAUCAGAAGAGAAGAAAACUAUGAUUUAAAUGUAAAUACUGCCAGGAGCUAUGGGGAGAAGUAAAGCUGGACCUGGGGUCACUGGACAGAAAGCCAGUAAACCUUGCCCGUUCUGACAGAUGAAGGUCAUAGCCUUAGCCAAAAUCUAUCAGGCAGAUGGAUCGACCCGACUGAGAAGCAACUUCUUACAGUGGUGCAGCAAAGUGCAGACAG